rnacentral:lncRNA from 1 species
GUGUACUGGGCCUUGCAAAGUCCGUUAGGAGCGCUCCAGGGCGACAGUGCCCAGCGGUUAACAAGUUUGUAAUUACUUUCGUGGGUUUCUACGUUGCAAAUUGAGAAGAGGGUUGCUGGGUUGGGCCCCCCUCCUCUGGACGCUAACCCCACCCAGGGAUGUUGUGAAACAAAAGCUGACAUUUAUAUAUAUAUACAUAUAUACAGUAUUUGAGUUCCUCAGUAGAAAGCUAUCAUAUAUACUCAGAUGGCGUUAUUCCCUCUGGUCCCCACUGCUCUGGCCAAACCUUCUCUCUGCUGACUGCAUCUAUUGCUGUGAGCUGAUUGUCCUCUAGUUUCUCCAUCUCCUGAGGCAUGCUUCACACCACUGCCAGAAGAGCUGCCAGAAUGUUUUGGACGUUUAAAGAAUGGUUCUGGUUGGAAAGAUUCUGGC